AUUGAACGCUAGCGGGAUGCUUUACACAUGCAAGUCGAACGAGUGGCGGACGUGUGAGUAAUAUAUCGGAACGUGCCCAGUAGCGGGGGAUAACUACUCGAAAGAGUGGCUAAUCCCGCAUACUAUUGGAGCGGCCCAUAUUGGAUUAGCUAGUUGGUGGGGUAAAGGCUCACCAAGGCAACGAUCCGUAGCUGGUUUGAGAGGACGACCAGCCACCAUGGAACUGAGACACGGCCCAGACUCCUACGGGAGGCAGCAGUUGGGAAUUUUGAACAAUGGGUGAAACCCUGAUGCAGCCAUCCCGCGUGUGUGAGAAGGCCUUCGGGUUGUAAAAUACUUUUGGCAGGGAAGCGGUAUCUGCAGAAUAAGCACCGGCUAACUACGUGCCAGCAGCCGCGGUAAUAC
rnacentral:rRNA from 1 species